GACGAACGCUGGCGGCGUGCUUAAUACAUGCAGGUCAACUGAACUUAGGAUAGCAAUAUUUUAAGGGAGGUGGCGCACGGGUGAGUAACACGUAGGUAAUCUGCCUUUAGGUCUGACAUAACCUACCGAAAGGUAGGCUAAAAUCAGAUGAUGCAGCGGCUCGACAUCGAGACAGUUGUUAAAUCUUCGGAGCCUAAAGAUGAGCCUGCGUCUGAUUAGCUAGUUGGUGAGGUAAUGGCUCACCAAGGCGACGAUCAGUAGCUGGUCUGAGAGGACGAACAGCCACACUGGAACUGAGACACGGUCCAGACUCCUACGGGAGGCAGCAGUGAGGAAUAUUGGUCAAUGGGAGCAAUCCUGAACCAGCAAUGCCGCGUGUGGGAUGACAGGGCUUCGCCUUGUAAACCACUGUCGGACGGGACGAAAGGAGGCCUCGGGGCCUCUGGGACGGUACCGUCAAAGGAAGGGUCGGCUAACUACGUGCCAGCAGCCGCGGUAA
rnacentral:rRNA from 1 species